AGAUUGAACGCUAGCGGGAUGCUUUACACAUGCAAGUCGAACGGCAGCGCGGACUUCGGUCUGGCGGCGAGUGGCGAACGGGUGAGUAAUAUAUCGGAACGUGCCCAGUAGCGGGGGAUAACUACGCGAAAGCGUGGCUAAUACCGCAUACGCCCUACGGGGGAAAGGGGGGAUCGCAAGACCUCUCACUAUUGGAGCGGCCGAUAUCGGAUUAGCUAGUUGGUGGGGUAAAGGCUCACCAAGGCUUCGAUCCGUAGCUGGUUUGAGAGGACGACCAGCCACACUGGGACUGAGACACGGCCCAGACUCCUACGGGAGGCAGCAGUGGGAAUUUGGACAAUGGGGAAACCUGAUCCAGCCAUCCCGCGUGUGCGAUGAAGGCCUUCGGGUUGUAAAGCUACUUUGGCAGGGAAGAACGGCGCCGGAUAAUACCUGGCGUCACUGACGGUACCUGCAGAAUAGCACCGCUAACACGUGCCAGCAGCCGCGUAAUCU
rnacentral:rRNA from 1 species